CUUUAUCUUUCCAUCCAUUCAGUUCAUCACACAAUUUCUGUUCAUCUUGAGAUGACAAAUUCACGUUCUUAAGUAAAGUUUCCAUACUUUGAAAAGCAGCAAUAAAUUUUGCAUCAGUCCAAUUUGCAAAGUUGCAAUGUGCCCACUCGUUUCUGAUAUCUGAUCGAACUGUCUUUGCAUGAGCAGCAGCUCCUACAAAUGGGGCAGCUUCACAAAUCACUGAUAAGACUGCAGAUAUGUCCAUUUGAUCAAAGCCAGUGAACUUAGACAUGAAUGGUAGAACAAACAACUUUGCCAAAGACAAUGGGUCUUUAACAGCAUAAUUAAAUGCACGAGGUGAUUUAAGGGUAUGAUUGUUGUUGAUAUUUUUAUAGUUGAGGUCUAAAGUUGAUGGGUUCAACUGUAUUUUAUGUCGGCCGUAAACUUGUUUGUCAAUUUCGGUCGGUGGUUGACAUAAAAUUUGGUGCCAAUUUGGUAUUUCCAUUGCAAGAACAUUUCUCAAUGCAGGAGUGAGCACUUUGGUCAAACAUACACCAAUGACAACCCAUCUUCUUUCAUCGUCUGAUAUAGAAGUUGAAGUGGAGGCAGUAGCCAUUACUGAUC